AAAAAAGUGAAGCACGGAGCUGUUCAUUCAAGUUAAUAACUACCAUUGAAUACAUUGUAAAAUUAUUGACUUGGUUGUGAAACCCUAUCUAUUUGCAUUCUUGUGUGUCAAUUUUGAUUCAGACUGAAUUAAUUACACUUCUGAAGGAAAUAAAGCAAAUAUUUUGGUUCCUCUCAAAGCACACCAAAAGGAAAGAGAUAAGAACGUAAUAUUUUCCAUUUGAGUGAAACUUGAAUUGCGCAUGCGCACUGCACAGGAGCGCGCGCGACGGCGAGAAGUUGGGGAGAAGAGCUUGAUAUCAGAGCUUCGUCCGUUUCGGCAAUUCUAACGUCCUACUUGCAUUUCAUCGAAGAAUAAACCUGCGGUUGGAUGUGGAAAUGCAAAGAAUGCAGUAAGCAUUUUUCAAUAAGAUCUGAGAUACUGAAACACUUGAGACGUGACCAUCGCUUUGACGGUUUUGACUCCAGCUUCCUGAACUUCACUGACCAUCAGGGCAUCUACAUAAACACAUCUUGAGAUCCAACUUAACAGUAUGGCCACUCCCAUCCGACUCCUCAUCUUGUUGAGUGACGAAAGCGCAGAGAGGAUGGAAUUAUCAAGGAUGCCGGACACAGUUGAGGAGCUCAUUGAACAGGUCAAAAACGAAUGCAAACUUUGUGGAGACAUCAGGCUGCAAUACAAGGAUGAUGACUUUGGUGGAAUCUUUGUUAACUUGAGCUCAACCUCUAUGA